rnacentral:rRNA from 1 species
CCGUAACUACAUGCAAGUCGAACGACGGGCGACUUGUGCCGAGUGGCGAACGGGUGGGUAAGUACAUAAGUAACCUAGCCGUUACUAGGGGGAGUAACUGACUGAAACGGGACAGCCUAAGACCGCAUAGGUAGGGACACUGCAUGGUGACCGUAUUAAAAGUGCUGCAAGGCACUGGUAGAGGAUGGACUUAUGGCGCAUUAGCUGGUUGGUGAGGUAACGGCUCACCAAGGCGACGAUGCGUAGCCGACCUGAGAGGGUGACCGGCCACACUGGGACUGAGACACGGCCCAGACUCCUACGGGAGGCAGCAGUAGGGAAUUUUCGGCAAUGGGGGGAACCCUGACCGAGCAACGCCGCGUGAAGGAAGAAGGAAUUCGUUCUGUAAACUUCUGUUAUAAAGGAAGAAAGACGGAUGGAGGAAAUGACAUCCGAGUGACGGUACUUUACGAGAAAGCCACGGCUAACUACGUG